GACGAACGCUGGCGGCGUGCUUAACACAUGCAAGUCGAACGGAAAGGCCCUGCUUUUGUGGGGUGCUCGAGUGGCGAACGGGUGAGUAACACGUGAGUAACCUGCCCUUGACUUUGGGAUAACUUCAGGAAACUGGGGCUAAUACCGGAUAGGAGCUCCUGCUGCAUGGUGGGGGUUGGAAAGUUUCGGCGGUUGGGGAUGGACUCGCGGCUUAUCAGCUUGUUGGUGGGGUAGUGGCUUACCAAGGCUUUGACGGGUAGCCGGCCUGAGAGGGUGACCGGCCACAUUGGGACUGAGAUACGGCCCAGACUCCUACGGGAGGCAGCAGUGGGGAAUAUUGCACAAUGGGCGGAAGCCUGAUGCAGCAACGCCGCGUGCGGGAUGACGGCCUUCGGGUUGUAAACCGAUUUCGCCUGUGACGAAGCGUGAGUGACGGUAAUGGGUAGAGAAGCACCGGCUAACUACGUG
rnacentral:rRNA from 1 species